rnacentral:rRNA from 1 species
UACGAGGGGGGCAAAUGUUGUUCGGAAUCACUGGGCGUAAAGCGCACGUAGGCGGCUUCUUAAGUCAGGGGUGAAAUCCUGGAGCUCAACUCCAGAACUGCCUUUGAUACUGAGGAGCUUGAGUCCGGGAGAGGUGAGUGGAACUCCGAGUGUAGAGGUGAAAUUCGUAGAUAUUCGGAAGAACACCAGUGGCGAAGGCGGCUCACUGGUCCGGUACUGACGCUGAGGUGCGAAAGCGUGGGGAGCAAACAGG